rnacentral:rRNA from 1 species
UACGUAGGGUGCAAGCGUUGUCCGGAAUUAUUGGGCGUAAAGAGCUCGUAGGCGGCUCGUCGCGUCGGCUGUGAAAACCUGGGGCUCAACCCCGGGCCUGCAGCCGAUACGGGCAAGCUAGAAUUCGGUAGGGGAGACUGGAAUUCCUGGUGUAGCGGUGAAAUGCGCAGAUAUCAGGAGGAACACCGGUGGCGAAGGCGGGUCUCUGGGCCGAUAUUGACGCUGAGGAGCGAAAGCGUGGGGAGCGAACAGG